GGUUUGGAGCAUGUAUGUAUACCGAAGGAAGUUGUGGUCCAGGGUUGCAACGCUGAGGCACCGUUUUGCAGUUCUUACCAAGAAUUAUGCAGGCAUGCAUUUGAGGAAUGUCAACUAGUGUAAUAAGAAGUGUGCCCACAACAAUCAGGAGAAGGAGGAUAACAAUGGCGUCAGUCAUGCACCAGCCGCUGCCGCGUUGUCCAUUGGGGCAUGCAACUAGCUCGCUGAUGCCUCUGGCGCGGGAAGAGAAUGUCGGGGAAGUUAAUUGCAGCUGCAAACCAUAGUGUGGUAGCAGCGAGAACCUUUGGUCUUGGCCUUGAGCUGUCCAGUCCAAUCCGUCGCUUGAGCUUGAUUCAUGGACUGAGCUUCUUCUUCGACCAACGGUAGCUGGAUGCAGAGCUGGAGCGUCUUCAAGGGCUUAUCUAACAGGUAUAGAAGAAAAUGCCAAGACGACCUGAAGCAACUAGUUUAUGUCCGUGUGAUUUUUCUGGUCGCUUUGGAGUCUGACCCUGCCUGGAAAGCUGGCUUGGCCUUGGCGGUGCCACUGCUGGUGAUGUGCUGCCCGUUGCAUGUGUGUGAUACUACUCUUUCGAUCCUUGUAGUGUCGUCUUUGUAAUGCUCCAGACCAGGGAGUUUUGUAAUGCUCCAGACCAGGGAGUUAUAGUUAUUGUGUAGCUAGAUGUAACCCGUGGUACGUUUGCAUUCUUUGCUACUUGACUAGUGUUUUUGUCUGGCCAGAAUGUGCAAAUCAUGUGGGUUAUUUGAAAAGAUAUGAUUUGUGUUGCGUACACAGUAAUGUUUGUUUCAUGUUGUGAAUGUUAAAAAAAGAGGAGAGGUUAUGCCAA